rnacentral:rRNA from 1 species
UACAGAGGUCCCAAGCGUUGUUCGGAUUCAUUGGGCGUAAAGGGUGCGUAGGCGGCGCGGUAAGUCGGGUGUGAAAUCUCGGGGCUUAACUCCGAAACUGCAUUCGAUACUGCCGUGCUUGAGGACUGGAGAGGAGACUGGAAUUUACGGUGUAGCGGUGAAAUGCGUAGAUAUCGGAAGGAACAUCAGUGGCGAAAGCGACUUCCUGGACCAGUACCGACGUUCAGGCACGAAAGCGUGGGGAGCAAACAGG